GUGAGGAAUUUUCCGCAAUGGGCGAAAGCCUGACGGAGCAAUGCCGCGUGAAGGAUGAAGGCCUAUGGGUUGUAAACUUCUUUUCUCAGAAAAGAAUUAUGACGGUAUCUGAGGAAUAAGCAUCGGCUAACUCUGUGCCAGCAGCCGCGGUAAGACAGAGGAUGCAAGCGUUAUCCGGAAUGAUUGGGCGUAAAGCGUCUGUAGGUUGUUUAAAAAGUAUUCUGUCAAAGAUUAGGGCUUAACCCUAGAUAGGCAGAAUAAACUUUUAAGCUAGAGUUUGGUAGAGGCAGAGGGAAUUCCCGGUGGAGCGGUGAAAUGCGUAGAUAUCGGGAGGAACACCAAAGGCGAAGGCACUCUGCUGGGCCAAUACUAACACUGAGAGACGAAAGCGAGGGGAGCAAAUGGGAUUAAAAACCCGGGUAGUCC
rnacentral:rRNA from 1 species